rnacentral:rRNA from 1 species
GCGGCCUAAACAUGCAAGUCGAGCGGUAGCACAGAGAGCUUGCUCUCGGGUGACGAGCGGCGGACGGGUGAGUAAUGUCUGGGAAACUGCCUGAUGGAGGGGGAUAACUACUGGAAACGGUAGCUAAUACCGCAUAAUGUCGCAAGACCAAAGUGGGGGACCUUCGGGCCUCAUGCCAUCAGAUGUGCCCAGAUGGGAUUAGCUAGUAGGUGGGGUAACGGCUCACCUAGGCGACGAUCCCUAGCUGGUCUGAGAGGAUGACCAGCCACACUGGAACUGAGACACGGUUCCAGACUCCUACGGGAGGCAGCAGUGGGGAAUAUUGCACAAUGGGCGCAAGCCUGAUGCAGCCAUGCCGCGUGUGUGAAGAAGGCCUUCGGGUUGUAAAGCACUUUCAGCGGGGAGGAAGGCGUUAAGGUUAAUAACCUUGGCGAUUGACGUUACCCGCAGAAGAAGCACCGGCUAACUCCGUGCCAGCAGCCGCGGUAAUACGGAGGGUGCAAGCGUUAAUCGGAAUUACUGGGCGUAAAGCGCACGCAGGCGGUCUGUCAAGUCGGAUGUGAAAUCCCCGGGCUCAACCUGGGAACUGCAUUCGAAACUGGCAGGCUAGAGUCUUGUAGAGGGGGGUAGAAUUCCAGGUGUAGCGGUGAAAUGCGUAGAGAUCUGGAGGAAUACCGGUGGCGAAGGCGGCCCCCUGGACAAAGACUGACGCUCAGGUGCGAAAGCGUGGGGAGCAAACAGGAUUAGAUACCCUGGUAGUCCACGCCGUAAACGAUGUCGAUUUGGAGGUUGUGCCCUUGAGGCGUGGCUUCCGGAGCUAACGCGUUAAAUCGACCGCCUGGGGAGUACGGCCGCAAGGUUAAAACUCAAAUGAAUUGACGGAGGGCCCGCACAAGCGGUGGAGCAUGUGGUUUAAUUCGAUGCAACGCGAAGAACCUUACCUGGUCUUGACAUCCACAGAACUUAACAGAGAUGGUUUGGUGCCUUCGGGAACUGUGAGACAGGUGCUGCAUGGCUGUCGUCAGCUCGUGUUGUGAAAUGUUGGGUUAAGUCCCGCAACGAGCGCAACCCUUAUCCUUUGUUGCCAGCGGUUAGGCCGGGAACUCAAAGGAGACUGCCAGUGAUAAACUGGAGGAAGGUGGGGAUGACGUCAAGUCAUCAUGGCCCUUACGACCAGGGCUACACACGUGCUACAAUGGCAUAUACAAAGAGAAGCGACCUCGCGAGAGCAAGCGGACCUCAUAAAGUAUGUCGUAGUCCGGAUUGGAGUCUGCAACUCGACUCCAUGAAGUCGGAAUCGCUAGUAAUCGUAGAUCAGAAUGCUACGGUGAAUACGUUCCCGGGCCUUGUACACACCGCCCGUCACACCAUGGGAGUGGGUUGCAAAAGAAGUAGGUAGCUUAACCUUCGGGAGGGCGCUUACCCACUUGAUCCGG